ACUCUUGGUGCUGGUAUGGGCAAAAUCAGAAGUAAGAAAUGUGAAAUACGUAGCAUAGGGUACUGCAUUUAGCAGCAGCACACUGAAGUUAUGCCGCAAGUUGAAGUUUUAAAGCAUAUUAAAGAGGAACUAGUUUACAAAUUUUAAUUGCCAGGUCAUAUACAAUGGCAUGUGUUUAUUGCCUAGACAAUGUAUUAGAACUAAUUGUCUUUUAGAAUAACCAACUAACAGAAAGCUAAAUGAAGAGGGACAGAUUUCUCUCUAGGUUUGAUUUUCAUGCUUGUUCAUGUUAAUUCAUGAUGGUGUAAAUUACAUGCCCAGAAUUUGUUUUCCAAAGUAAGCUCUUAACUUUGUUAAAAUUCUGCAUUUUGAAUAUAGCAACCAAUGGCAAACACCUCAUAACACUCUUGCAGACCACUUCUUAACAUGGGAGAGCUAUGUUGAUAGCAGGUCUUUCCAUUUCAGAUGUUAUGCCUUCUACUCAAUAAGGAAAUGUACAAAGAGCAGUUGUUUAAUAUCAUAAACCAAACUGCGCAGGCAGCUUUUGGCAACGAGUCACUAUGCUGUCAUUCCAGAUGCAGUCUCUACAUUUACUUGUGGGAGUGUCGCAAGUUGGUUGUUUAGUCAAAGCUGCUGCACCAGACACAGUAAGAGCUUUAUAUGAGCAAUGUAGCGCUGAGUGGCAUUCUUGUGGAUCAUUGGAACAUCUGCUUUAGUGUUCAUUGUCCAUGAAAGGAAGAUGAGCAGACAAAUGUUUUGCUCUUGCAAAGAGCAAAGUUAUUAACAGAUUCAGUGCUUUUUCACAGAAAAGGAAAAACCUGAGAAAACUCAAACAAUGAAUUCUUCAAGGAGAAUACAUUCUCUACGUGCCCACAGACAACGGAUUCCAGUCACCUAUGUGGACAGCUGGCAAAGUCAAUCUUGCAGUUGUUCCAGUCGAGGCUGCAUUGAUGAACUAGUUGCAUACUUACUAAUUACAGUGAUUAUUUUGCUUGCACUCUGGGGAGCAGUGGCAAGGAAAGACACAUAUGUAUAAUUUUUUUUGGAUUUGGACUUCAAACCCAUGAAUGGAGGACUGUUUGUUCAUGGAUUGAUCCCCCAGUGAGGAACUGUGUUGUUCCAAACUGGCUGAAACAUCAAGUUUAUUUCAGGUAUUGUUGAAGAAGUCUGUGUUUAAAAUAAAGAAAAUGAUUAUGUUCUAUUGUGAACAUACACUGUCGAACAUACCUGAUACAGGUAAUAAUGUUGUAUAUACUGAUAAAACAAAAACAUUUCUCUACUAAAUUUUUGUAUUAAAAUUAAACUAAAACCAA